rnacentral:tRNA from 1 species
AUUACUUUGGCAGAUUAGUGCAAUGAAUUUAGAUUUCAUUUAUGUUUUAUAACAGGUAAUA